UGUUUACCAAAAACACAGGAGCGUGCGAAGGCGCAAGCCGCUGUAUACGCUCUGACGCCUGCCCGGUGCCGGAAGGUUAAGAGGAUCCGUCAGGCUUCGGCCGAAGCGGUGAAUUCAAGCCCCGGUAAACGGCGGUGGUAACUAUAACCAUCCUAAGGUAGCGAAAUUCCUUGUCGGGUAAGUUCCGACCUGCACGAAUGGCGUAACGACUUCCCCACUGUCUCGACCAGGAGCUCGGCGAAAUUGCAGUACGAGUAAAGAUGCUCGUUAAGCGCAGAAGGACGAAAAGACCCCGGGACCUUUACUAUACCUUGGUAUUGGCAUUCGGUGUGGAUUGUGUAGCAUAGGCGGAAGGCUUCGAAGCCACGGCGCCAGCCGCGGUGGAGCCGCAAGGUGAAAUACCGCUCUGUUCGCAUUGGAUGUCUAACCUCGACCAGUCAUCCUGGUCAGGGACAGUGCCUGGCGGGUAGUUUAACUGGGGCGGUUGCCUCCCAAAGAGUAACGGAGGCGCUCAAAGGUUCCCUCAGCCCGGUUGGCAAUCGGGUGGCGAGUGUAAGUGCACAAGGGAGCUUGACUGCGAGACUGACGGGUCGAGCAGGGACGAAAGUCGGAACUAGUGAUCCGGUGCCGGUGUACGGACGCGGCAUCGCUCAACGGAUAAAAGGUACCCCGGGGAUAACAGGCUGAUCAUUCCCAAGAGUCCAUAUCGACGGGAUGGUUUGGCACCUCGAUGUCGGCUCGUCGCAUCCUGGGGCUGGAGCAGGUCCCAAGGGUUCGGCUGUUCGCCGAUUAAAGCGGCACGCGAGCUGGGUUCAGAACGUCGUGAGACAGUUUGGUCUCUAUCCUCUGCGCUCGUCGGAAUGUUGAGGAGGCCUGCCCAUAGUACGAGAGGACCUGGGUGGACGAACCUCUGGUAUGCCGGUUGUCACGCCAGUGGCACGGCCGGUUGGCUACGUUCGGAAGGGAUAACCGCUGAAAGCAUCUAAGCGGGAAGCCUGCUCCAAGAUAAGCAUUCCAUAGGACUACGGGUCCUUGAAGUCCCCAUGCAGAACACGUGGUUGAUAGGCCGGACGUGGAAGCCCCGCGAGGGGUGGAGCCGACCGGUACUAACGGACGAAAGGCAACACAAC
rnacentral:rRNA from 1 species